rnacentral:misc_RNA from 1 species
GAUGAAGAACGCAGCGAAAUGCGAUAAGUAAUGUGAAUUGCAGAAUUCAGUGAAUCAUCGAAUCUUUGAACGCACAUUGCGCCCUCUGGUAUUCCGGGGGGCAUGCCUGUUCGAGCGUCAUUAUAACCACUCAAGCUCUCGCUUGGUAUUAGGGCUCGCGGUUCCGCGGCCCCUAAAAUCAGUGGCGGUGCCUGUCGGCUCUACGCGUAGUAAUACUCCUCGCGAUUGAGUCCGGUAGGUCUACUUGCCAACAACCCCCAAUUUUUACAGGUUGACCUCGGAUCAGGUAGGGAUACCCGCUGAACUUAAGCAUAUCAAUAAGCGGAGGA